ACAGACACCCUGUGGGGUAGAAGAAGAUGAAGAAAUUGGAUUUAUACCCCACCCUUUGCUAGCCGAAGGAGUCUCAGAGCGGCUUACAAUCUCCUUUCCCUUCCCCUCCCCACCACAGACACCCUGUGAGGUAGAGGAGGAGGAGGAGAUUGGAUUUAUACCCCGCCCUUCACUAACCAAAGGAGUCUCAGAGCGGCUUACAAUCUCCUUUCCCUUCCCCUCCCCACAACAGACACCCUGUGAGCAAUGUUCCCUCUAAGCUGUGGGGUCCUGUG